rnacentral:lncRNA from 1 species
CCUUGUUUGAAAACCUCUUGAGUUUAUUUAUCUCAUUCUUUGUUUAAACUCAUUACAAGGCAUAAAGUGAAAAACAAUUUUUAUCACCUUAUUUAAAGGGUUGAAAGUGCUUGUUGGAGUUGUGUGGGGUUAAAUUAGCACCGAUAUACAUGUGUUGUUUCAAGGUUUGACAAAAAAGAAAAAGAAAAAUAGAAAGAAAAUAAAGAAGGAAGAAAACUCUUAUCCUUAUUGCAUUCCUUCUUGGGGGAAAGUAAAAAAAAAUGAAAGAGAAGACAAAACGUAAAAGUGUUAUUUGAAAGUGAAUUAAAUAUUUUUAGUUCAACUCCCGCAGCUCUUUUCAAUUUUCUUUUGACUCUUUGAAUUUUA